GUGUGUGUGUGUGUGUGUGUGUGUGUGUGUGUGUGUGUUUCUGUCUGGUGGUUUCAUGUGUAGUUUAUGCGCUGAUUUGCCGGUUCGUUGUCCGUCGCUCCGUUGGUUGCUGUGCGCAUAAAAUUAUUAGAACGAUAUAAUUUCAUUAUCAGACAGAGAGGCACACAGGCACAGGCACAGACGGACACAGGCCACAAAGAGAAAGAGCCACAGGGGCAGAGGGGCAAAGACAGCGACAGCGACAGCCACAGAGGCAACCGAAUGCUAAGAAUGCGCGGAAAGUUCAUUGGCACACAACAGGGCGUAUGAGUGUUUUUUUCCUCUUUCCUCUUGUGUGUGUUUUUUUCGCUGACUUUGCGAGCAACAACAACA